AGUGUAAGGGAAGUUUGGAUGACAAUUUAAUUGGCUAAAGAAGUGGGGCAAGCCCACACUCCUUUUUUUCUGGCACGUUUGAAAUGACCAAGGGGAAUAACUUUGGGACUUUUUUUUUUAGUUUUGGUACAGAUUACACAAAACAAUACGCUCAGGGCUAUAGAAGUUUGGCAGAAGCACUAAAGGGUUAAGGACAAAGCUAUUCCUUGGGAUCAAAUUCAGGGACAUAGGAUUCAUAUAAGACCAAGUUGAGUUUAUUUUAUCCUAUUCCUAGUCCUUCAUGGAUUAAGCAAGCACAAGCAGUUUCUUUAAACUUGCAAUUAGUAUUGGAAAAGACGUUGUUGAAGCACUGAAGUAGGAUAAAUUCCAACGCACGGUAACAGAUUGUGGCUAUUGAAGAUCAUUUGAAGAGAUUUUGGCAUUUCAAAAGAGGUGUGCAGGUGUGGUUAACGGUGACCAGGUAACCGGUAUUUGAUUCAUUCCAGCUUUGUUCGGUCUAGUUCAGUCGAGAUUACACAAAACAAUACGCUCAGGGCUAUAGAAGUUUGGCAGAAGCACUAAAGGGUUAAGGACAAAGCUAUUCCUUGGGAUCAAAUUCAGGGACAUAGGAUUCAUAUAAGACCAAGUUGAGUUUAUUUUAUCCUAUUCCUAGUCCUUCAUGGAUUAAGCAAGCACAAGCAGUUUCUUUAAACUUGCAAUUAGUAUUGGAAAAGACGUUGUUGAAGCACUGAAGUAGGAUAAAUUCCAACGCACGGUAACAGAUUGUGGCUAUUGAAGAUCAUUUGAAGAGAUUUUGGCAUUUCAAAAGAGGUGUGCAGGUGUGGUUAACGGUGACCAGGUAACCGGUAUUUGAUUCAUUCCAGCUUUGUUCGGUCUAGUUCAGUCGAGGUGGAGGCUGUAUACUUGGAGUAGCAACAACUUCCUGCUUUUUCCCUUUAUUAAGGAUAGAAUCAUGUAAGUUUUCUAUAUGAAAAAAUAGUUUGUCAAUUCAUCAUGUAGUGAAAGAAUUUGUUCACCCAAGAUAUUCAUGUAAAUAUUAGCAUAAUUUUGUUGUUUCAGCAUAUUAUUAAUAUGCCUAGCAGUAACUUGUAAAGUAUCGUUUUCAAAUAAUUUUGAAAAAGCUGCAAAAUGAAGAA